rnacentral:lncRNA from 1 species
UUUUUUUCUUUCUUUUUUUUAACCAUGGACGCACCUGCAGCACUUGGACGUUCCUGGGCCAGGAAUAUGAAUCUUUGAAUCCAAGCCACAUCUGCAACCUAUGCAGUAGUUGCGGCAAUGCCAAUCCUUUAAUCCACUGCACCAGGCCAGGGAUCAAACACGCACCACUGCAGCAACCAAAGCUGCUGCAGUCAGGUUCUUAACCUAUUGUGCCACAGCAGGAACUCCCUGGUUCUUUUUGUAACAUUGCUUCUCUAAAAGUGUAAUGCUUGCAGGCUAAAAUAAAAUAACCAAUAUUUGCCCCUUACUUUUUUCUCAUUGAAAAAAUGUCUUAUUUGCCUAUCAAAAAUUUGUCCACAUCACUAUGAAAUAUACAUACUCAUCAUCAUUGGACAUUCUUCUUUAUCCUUUGUUCAAACCCUCUAACCUAACAUUUCCCCAAAUCUUCUUCCUCUAGAAAAUCUGUUUCAUGAGCUCUCCAAGAUGUUAUGGGGGGGAGGAGGUUGAGUGAUCAAAUAAAUUUGGAAAAUGCUGAGUUAAUGUUAAACAGGUUCCCUUACUGUAGGUCUUUUUUUUUAAAUAAUGAUUUUUAUUUUUUCCAUUAUAGUUGUGUUAGUAUGUACUACAUUACACUGCAAAAGUACACAUUCUUUACCAAGUUUAUUUGACCCCAAAACCCUUUUGUCAAGGAGCCACACUGGGAAAUGCUGCUACUCUAGUUCUUUGACAACUUUUAAUACAAAAUAUGCUAUGUUAUAUAAACUCAACAUUUCUUAAAUCUGAUUCACACACAAGACCUAUUCUCAAAUUCUUGCUGAAUUAAAAAAAACUAAUACCUGCUGCCCUGUGCAAACUGCUUUUGAAAUUUCUGAAUAUGAACACUGACCUCUAAAAAGAAUUAACACCAAUGACCAGCUACAUGCGCUAGGUCACGAGCUCUUAGUUAUCUCAUGACAGGCUAUUCUAUUUACUGGCCAAAUUUUCUUUAUUUUGGGGGGGUUUUUUUGUUUGUUUGUUUUUGUCUUUUUUGCCAUUUCUUGGGCCGCUCCCACGGCAUAUGGAGUUCCUGGGCCAAGUAUAAAAUCCAGGCCAUAGCUGUGACCACCCCACAGCUAUAUCAACAUCAGAUCCUUUAACCUACUGUGCCCAUGCUGGGGAUUGAACCCGUAUCGUCACAAAGACAACGACAGGUCUUUAACCCACUGGGCCAAAGCAAGAACUCCUAAGCCAAUUAUAAUAAAUUUUUUAAGAAAUAUUACAACAGUGUUGCAAUUAGAAUUACAGUAUUAAUCUAAAUCAUAUUUCUUUAAACUGCCUAGACUUUAAGCAUAACAAACCCUAAGAACAUAUCAAUUACAUCAAGCCAUCUUUGCCCAUUCAUCAUGUCAAGUAUCUUCUGUAUCCAGAUUAAGCAACUUUCCACUCACUAAUUGAAGAGAUCAAGCCCAUAAUACCAUACAAUCCAGAAAUCCACCACUCACACUCUAGCAGUUUUACAAAGGAAUAGCAACUUGCUUUAUGAAUAGAACCUCCACAAAAGAGGAUCUAGCAACCAGAGGAUAUUCAAGGGCCUGUUCUUUAAGCAGCUAGCUCUCUCCUCUGUGGCAGCUUAUCAGACAGCAGAGUAUCUACCCUGCCUAGCUCACAGAGGUGUUAUGUUAUGAGGAUAAACUGAGAAAAUGGUUACCAAACUACUUGGAAAACUGAAAAGCUAUAUACAAAUGUAUGUCAUCAUUAUUUCAUUACUUGUCUGCACUCAAGACGGUGUGCAGACUAAACUUGCUCUUUAAUAAUACUGGGUCAAGGUCUACCAAGUAAAACUUAUUUCAGGGUAUAAAGAUUCACUAAUAUCCUCCUCUCUAUAGCAAAAUACAAUCCUUAUUCCAGUUGUUUCUCUUCUAAUAUCCAUUAUCCUUCUUUGGCAGAAGAAAACUAGAAACAUUCUUUAAGAAAUCAAAGCAACAUACAACACCUAAAAGUCUGUCUCAAUGUCAACAUGAGUUACUGAACACCUAUCCAUCUAAUAUAUCAGAAUUGUCCUGCCUAAAUGACAUUAUUUGGAUAGGAUUUUAGAUCAGCCAAAACCAUCACACUGAGGUUGGCCAUUUCCACGCUCUGCACCCCUCAGUUUCCACCAACACAUGCUUUUGUUUCUGAAUGUUAAUCCAGGCUCCACCACUUACAGAUGAUAUGAUCGUGGGCAAAUUAUUUAACCUUUCUGUGCUUCAAUUUCCUAUCUGCAGAAUAAACUGGUUAAACAUGGUUUAAAUAACAAACAGUUCAACCAGAUUUAAAUAUGAUGUACACAACAGAGGAAAGUAAUAGUUCCUGGUCCACAAUAAAUUCUCAAUAAAUGUCACUCAGUAUUAUUUAUGUGUGCAUCUGUCCAUUCCACCAAACCAGCUUCGCUAAAUUACCUAAACUGCUCCACCAUUCUCUAUCAUUCCUUCUCUUCAAAAGAAUGAGUAAUUAAUUUUGAGAAAUCAGAAACUAUGACCAUAUUACUGACAAAAUUUCAUUAUACACACUGGAACAUUUACUUGUAUAGUAAAGUUUAACACCUAAUAUAAAAGAUAUUGGCCCACAUGUUUUUAAAUUAUAUUAACAUAGGAGAUAAUAUAAUAUUCCUAAUUCUGAAUUAGGUUAUCCUGAAUUCUAAUAUAUCAGCUAGCAAAGCUUUUAUUUAAACUGUAUAACAUAAAACUUCUCAUAACCAAUCAGUUUUAUUGUAUAGUGACUAAUAGGAAGGCCAUUAAAAAUGGCAAAAUUUAAAAGAGUUUCUAUAAAUGCUACUAUAUUAAGUUUAAAAAAAGAAAAAAGCUCGAAUACUAAUGUAUCCUCCCCAAAAUUAAGAUCAACAGAGACCUUAUUUUUUUUUGUUUGUUUGUUUUUUUGUUUUGUUUUGUUUUGCUUUAUCGAGGGCCGCUCCCACGGCAUGUGGAGGUUCCCAGGCUAGAGGUCGAAUCAGAGCUGUAGCCACUGGCCUACACCAGAGCCACAGCAACGUAGGAUCCGAGCCAUGUCUGCAGCC